UUUACUGAGGAAGCUUCAUACAGUCUUUAUAUUCUUGCAGGUCUUGGAAUAGCUGCUGACGCAGCCUAUGGUAUUUUCUCGGAGCUUAUAUUUACCCCAAAAGAGUAAGACGUAAUUACAUAUCUAGCAUUUUUAGCUAAUAUUAGUAAAAUCUUCAAAAUUGAGGAUUUCGUCUUUCUUCAUUUGCUGAAUUUAAUACAUGCUUAUAUACACUUCAGUUGGUCCACCUCUCCCCUGCUGCUUUGUUAAGGUUUGUAAAAUUACAUAUGUAAUAUAUAAUUUGAUUUCACCAGGGGUAGUAAUCAUGUCAAUUGAGAGUAUUAGUAGCAGAGUAAUGGUCCUCCUGACUAAACCAUUCCUGCAUUUCACAUUGUAGAAAUGAAUUUAAUGAAGUAUUAAUUGGUAGUGUUGGCGGACAUAAUUCACUGUCUUUGAGGUGUAUUUUAAAAAAAUUUGUAUCAACUUGUGUUAUAGCCAGGGAAUAUAGUACAAAGGUAAGCCUUCUUUUUAAUAACUUUACAAGUCCCAGAAAAAUUAGCUAGAAAUCUCAUUAUUAAAUAUUUCACAUUUUGGCUUCAUUAAAUAGUACGACAUUUUGGCGCUUUUGCAAGUUCAAGUUUUUGUGUUACUCUAUAGAUAUAGUUUAUUAUAAUCUGUUUCUAGCUAUGAUGCACACUAUGAGAAACAAAUUAACAUACUUAAUUUAGUUGUUAGCAUCGCUUUUUAAAUCUAUUCUUCUAGUGUCAUAUUGAUGUCUUAAGUUUAAGUAACAAGUACUAUUGAUCUAUUAGAACUAAAUCUAUUCUUUGUGCAACAUUAUAGUAUAUGGCCAUCUAGUUUGCAGCUUCCACUUCAUAAUAAUUUGUAAUUGUAGCCGAAUAGUAAAACUUUAGAAAUGCAUAUGUAGGACAAUAGCUUCUGAUAGAAAUCACAUAAUUUAUAAUAACGUGGAAUUUAUGAAAAAAAAUAGAUAUUAUUUACUAAGCAAUAACUUCUAUUACAUAUUUUAAGUACUUACACGUAGCACGAAAAAAUUCAAAAUCAUUUGAUUUACCUAAUUCUCAUUUUUUAAAAGUUAAUCUUAUUUAUUUAUCAAUAUUUCAUAUUAUAUAUAUAUUUUUUCUGAAGUACAAUAAUUCAUAUUUAUUUAGAUAUAUUUUUUUAUAAAUAUAUAAAUAAAAAAUUAACUAUUAUCACCUAAAUAUAUAUUUUUGGGGCCCUUUUACAGUUGGGGGCCCCAAGCGACCUCUUAACUGGUCUUAGUGUUGAGCUGGGGGUGGAGAUGAAUAUAGUUUUAUUAGUCCUGUUCCUGAUGCUGGAAAUUCACAAAUCCAAUCUUUUUACUAAGUUACUUAAGGUCCCCUGCAUGAAUGCUUUCCUGUUAUAUACUUCAUUUUCUAUUAGAUACCUACUUUCCUGUGUUUGUCCUAUGUAGUUCUAUAUGAGCAAGCAUCAUUGACUGGCUAUUGACCUCAUGCCAACUUUUCAAUUACUUCAUAUUGCAAUUCCUUGAAAAAGAAGUUUGAAGAUAAGAUCACUGAGUUUCAGACUCUGAGGCAAACCAUUCAUCAUGUAUCGAGAGUGAUUGAUACAAGAGUUGACCGGCUACUCCAGUUCCAAAAUCUAAGGUCGAGGAGCUGAACGCAAAUAUUACUUAAAGUGAGCUCAACGCACCGCUUCUGGAACCACUCAUGGCACCACUUCCGGCACCACCGAUUCUUGAAUAUAACUGUUUCUGCGAUUACCUUAGUUACUAUGAAUUUGUCGUACUUAAUUUUGUAGUUAGAUUGUUUUGAUGUUGUGUUUCUUAAAUGGUUUGGAUGAGAUUGUUUUAUGUUGGACUUGCUGGAGGAUGGUUGGAUAUUUGUUGUACUAGAGUUUGGUAUUUGUAGUUUUAGCUGGAUGUUUGGUGGGAAGUUUGGAUGGAUGUUUGUAGGAUUAUUUGUAUUUUUAUUGGGAGUGUUACAAAAACAAUGCAGGCAUUGCAGAAUUUUUCAAAAUAUGUGUUACAAUAGCUCAUUUUAAUGUUACGUUUGAUUACUAUUUGUGGUA